rnacentral:rRNA from 1 species
AUUGAACGCUGGCGGCAGGCCUAACACAUGCGAGUCGAACGGUAACAGGAAGCAGCUUGCUGCUUUGCUGACGAGUGGCGGACGGGUGAGUAAUGUCUGGGAAACUGCCUGAUGGAGGGGGAUAACUACUGGAAACGGUAGCUAAUACCGCAUAACGUCGCAAGACCAAAGAGGGGGACCUUCGGGCCUCUUGCCAUCGGAUGUGCCCAGAUGGGAUUAGCUAGUAGGUGGGGUAACGGCUCACCUAGGCGACGAUCCCUAGCUGGUCUGAGAGGAUGACCAGCCACACUGGAACUGAGACACGGUCCAGACUCCUACGGGAGGCAGCAGUGGGGAAUAUUGCACAAUGGGCGCAAGCCUGAUGCAGCCAUGCCGCGUGUAUGAAGAAGGCCUUCGGGUUGUAAAGUACUUUCAGCGAGGAGGAAGGGAGUAAAGUUAAUACCUUUGCUCAUUGACGUUACCCGCAGAAGAAGCACCGGCUAACUCCGUG